rnacentral:tmRNA from 1 species
GGGGCUGACUUGGAUUUCGACAGAUUUCUUGUCGCACAGACAGCAUGCCAAGUGCUGCUUGUAAAACAGCAACAAAAAUAACUGUAAACAACACAGAUUACGCUCCAGCUUACGCUAAAGCUGCGUGAGUUAAUCUCCUUUUGGAGCUGGACUGAUUAGAAUUUCUAGCGUUUUAAUCACUCCAUAACCUUAAGCUAGACGCUUUUAAAAGGUGGUUCGCCUUUUAAACUAAGAAACAAGAACUCUUGAAACUACCUCAAGGUUUUAGAAAGUUGGACCAGAGCUAGUUUUAAGGCUAAAAAACUAACCAAUUUUCUAAGCAUUGUAGAAGUUUGUGUUUAGGGCAAGAUUUUUGGACUGGGGUUCGAUUCCCCACAGCUCCACCA